rnacentral:rRNA from 1 species
AUUGAACGCUGGCGGCAUGCUUUACACAUGCAAGUCGAACGGCAGCGGGUCCUUCGGGAUGCCGGCGAGUGGCGAACGGGUGAGUAAUGCAUCGGAACAUACCCAGUCGUGGGGGAUAACGUAGAGAAAGUUACGCUAAUGCCGCAUACGUCCUGAGGGAGAAAGCGGGGGAUCGCAAGACCUCGCGCGAUUGGAGUGGCUGAUGUCUGAUUAGAUCGUUGGUGAGGUACAGGCUCACCAAGGCGACGAUCAGUAGCGGGUCUGAGAGGAGGAUCCGCCACACUGGGACUGAGACACGGCCCAGACUCCUACGGGAGGCAGCAGUGGGGAAUUUUGGACAAUGGGGGCAACCCUGAUCCAGCCAUGCCGCGUGCAGUAAGAAGGCCUUCGGGUUGUAAACUGCUUUCGGACAGAAAGAAAUCGCCAUUCCUAAUACGAGUGGUGGAUGACGGUGCUGUAAGAAGAAGCACCGGCUAACUACGUGCCAGCAGCCGCCGUAACAC